CUUCAUCGUUGAGCUGCAAACCACAAUCCUAGAAGACAGACAUACAUCCUAGAUCAGUGAGUGAUUCAGCAUUGAUCUGGACAAACCUGAAAUGUCUGAUUCAGUGAGAGCUGGCAUUUGGAUUAGGCUCUGCUCACUCUUUAAAUCUGUCUGGACUGGAAAAGAAUAAUAGUCUCGGAUCUCAGCAGCACUGCUUUUCUACGUGAUGGUAGCCCUGUGGACACUGCUGCUUAAAGACUUCAGAGACUUUUUUGGACUCCGGUUGGUCUGCUAUUUCAAAACACCAAUUUUCUUCAAUUAGCAGACCUGCAGCUCGCUAUGUCUGCAACGUCUGUUAGCGCUCAACCUUAUGCUUCUCAGCCAUGGUGCCGAAGUUCUUAUAUCAACCCUUGCUUUAAAAAUUUGUCCUCUGGGAUGAAUUGCUGGGAGAAAAUCCAGACCUCCCCCACCAAAGUCAAUGAGAGUUCUGCCACCAGCUUCAAUGGACGUCUAGCUUCCUGAUAUGGGAUACGGCACUACUGUGUUCUGUUAUAAUGAGAGGUGAAUCCAAACUGCCAGCUCUGCCAAAGUGCACAGGCCAAAUCAAGAUUUGAAUAUCCCUAAAGACUCCAAAAUUUAUAUUUUAAGCUCAUCUGUAGGCUUGAUGCAACACUUCAAUUCAAAAUAUCCCAAUAAAUUAGCCUUACUUCACCACUGUCACAUCUGUUUAUAAAAUUAAACCAGGACCACUGGCAUACUACAAUUGUUGUAGUAUGUACAAUAGUACAUACUACUUUUUUUUUUUUUUGGCAGGGAGGGUUUGGAGUGAGACACACACGAGUAACAACAUGAACCCUCCUGCACAGAUUGCAGUUAACAUGCUAUAAUCUGUUUGCCUUUGUUGAUAGUAUUGGGGAGCAGAGCAAUGUUUGGCAUUCAUCCUUCUUUUCACUGCAUGUGCUUUGAAUCUGUCCAUGUUUGAUUAGUGGUACCAGUGCUCUGCAGCUUGAAAGCACCUUCUUUCCUAACCUAGAAUGGUGAGAGGCUUCAAAAUGCUCACAGACUUCAUUCGGCUUCUGUGCAUCACGAAUAUUGUGGCAAAUUCCUUCUCCAGCUUUGAUUCCAUUAUUCUGCUAAACUUAUCAAUAAACAUCUGUGUCUGCCUGUU